rnacentral:rRNA from 1 species
AGGUAAGCUACUAAGAGCGAAUGGUGGAUGCCUUGACUGGUAAAGGCGAUGAAGGACGUACUAGACUGCGAUAAGCUACGGGGAGCUGUCAAGAAGCUUUGAUCCGUAGAUUUCCGAAUGGGGCAACCCAAUGUAUAGAGAUAUACAUUACCUAUAUAGGAGCGAACGAGGGGAAUUGAAACAUCUUAGUACCCUCAGGAAAAGAAAUCAAUAGAGAUUGCGUCAGUAGCGGCGAGCGAAAGCGCAAGAGGGCAAACCCAGUGCUUGCACUGGGGGUUGUAGGACUGCAAUGUGCAAGAGGU